UAGGGAAUCUUCCACAAUGGGCGAAAGCCUGAUGGAGCAACGCCGCGUGUGUGAUGAAGGUUUCGGCUCGUAAACACUGUUGUAAGAGAAGAAUGACAUUGAGAGUAACUGUUCAAUGUGUGACGGUAUCUUACCAGAAAGGAACGGCUAAAUACGUGCCAG
rnacentral:rRNA from 1 species